rnacentral:rRNA from 1 species
UUGAACGCUGGCGGCGUGCCUAACACAUGCAAGUCGAGCGGUAGCGCGGGAGCAAUCCUGGCGACGAGCGGCGGACGGGUGAGUAAUGCUUGGGAAUCUGCCUGUUAGUGGGGGACAACCCGGGGAAACUCGGGCUAAUACCGCAUACGCACUAAGGUGGAAAGCCGGGGACCGUAAGGCCUGGCGCUAACAGAUGAGCCCAAGUCGGAUUAGCUAGUUGGCGAGGUAACGGCUCACCAAGGCUUCGAUCCGUAACUGGUCUGAGAGGACGACCAGUCACACCGGAACUGAGACACGGUCCGGACUCCUACGGGAGGCAGCAGUGGGGAAUAUUGGACAAUGGGCGAAAGCCUGAUCCAGCGACGCCGCGUGGGUGAAGAAGGCCUGCGGGUUGUAAAGCCCUUUCAGUGGGGAAGAAAAGCCCUGUUCCAAUAAAACAGGGUCUUGACGUAACCCAUAGAAGAAGCACCGGCUAACUCUGU